GACGUAGGGCGCGAGCGUUGUCCGGAUUCAUUGGGCGUAAAGCGUCUGUAGGUGGCUUUUCAAGUCCGCCGUCAAAUCCCAGGGCUCAACCCUGGACAGGCGGUGGAAACUGCCAAGCUGGAGUACGGUAGGGGCAGAGGGAAUUUCCGGUGGAGCGGUGAAAUGCGUAGAGAUCGGAAAGAACACCAACGGCGAAAGCACUCUGCUGGGCCGACACUGACACUGAGAGACGAAAGCUAGGGGAGCGAAUGGG
rnacentral:rRNA from 1 species